GCAAAAUGGAACACGACAGUAUAAUGACUCCACAGAAAAAUACGUCAGAAAACGGUCCACGAAGAACAUGUAGGCCGAAAAAGCCUAAAAUUCUUUUCUCCCCCUCAUUGCCGGUUACAGUAUCAAAGAAAAAAAAAAAUUGUGGCCAUCGAGAUGAGAAAAAAAGCAAAGGUGGAAAAUAAGAUUGUAAAGAAAAAUGCUGCAGAAGUAGCAAGAGCUGCUGAAAAAGAGACCAUCAACUUGAUGUUGAAAGACGUGAGUAUUUAAAUACUCAACUAAAAUAUUGCUAACCAAGUUAAACUGACGUAACAAUUAGUUACAAUAAUCUUUUUGUUUUUAUUAUCGACUUGUUAUAUUCGCUCGUCUUAUUAAGUGAACACCCUGCAGAAAAGAUCGACAUAUUUAAUAAUUAGUAUAAAAUUUCAGUUUAAAUUUCUUCACGGGUGACUCUUUUGAAAAACUAUUGUUGUAUGUCCGACACAUUUUCGGAAGUAAAUAUAAUCGUUUAGGAAAAUACUGAAUCAUAUUUUAGUAUUUUAUUACGUUUUAUAAUCAUCCUGUAAAAAAAGUUACUUUAAUUGUUUAAUGUGUUUUUUUUAAA